rnacentral:rRNA from 1 species
AUUGAACGCUGGCGGCAUGCCUUACACACGCAAGUCGAACGGCAGCACGGGAGCAAUCCUGGUGGCGAGUGGCGAACGGGUGAGUAAAGUAUCGGAACGUGCCCAGUCGUGGGGGAUCACGUAGCGAAAGUUACGCUAAUACCGCAUACGAUCUAUGGAUGAAAGCGGGGGAUCGCAAGACCUCGCGCGAUUGGAGCGGCCGAUAUCAGAUUAGGUAGUUGGUGGGGUAAAGGCUCACCAAGCCGACGAUCUGUAGCUGGUCUGAGAGGACGACCAGCCACACUGGGACUGAGACACGGCCCAGACUCCUACGGGAGGCAGCAGUGGGGAAUUUUGGACAAUGGGCGCAAGCCUGAUCCAGCCAUGCCGCGUGCAGGAUGAAGGCCUUCGGGUUGUAAACUGCUUUUGUACGGAACGAAAAGGUUUGACUUAAUACGUUGGACUCAUGACGGUACCGUAAGAAUAAGCACCGGCUAACUACGUGCCAGCCGCCGCGGUAA